UACGGUAGGGGAAGCCCGCACGUGCACGCGGCCUUUGGGCAUCAUGAGCUCGCGAGCCACGCGGGUUCUUCCUGGGUUGGGCCCGCGACUGUGGCUUGGCCGGGCUGUUGUUCUGGGCUAUUAAGUCAGCCUAUAUAGCUAGGGCAUCCGGUCCAGUUUUGUCUCUCUCGGGUGCAGAUAUGUUGGAAUGGGCCUCGAGGUAAGGUCUGAUCUUCAGGCGAUCCCGAUGGGCCUUAGUCGGCCCACCCAUAAGGGCGUGUGAAAUGGGCCGUACAUGCUUC
rnacentral:lncRNA from 1 species